rnacentral:tRNA from 1 species
GCCUCUGUGGCACAAUCGUUAGAGCGUUCAGCUGUUGACCAAAAGGUUGGUGGUUCAAGCCCGCCCAAGAACA